GAGAAAAUGCUAGUGUACGUAUACAUGCCUAAUAAAAGCUUAAAUUUAUUUAUAUUUGGUAAGUUAAUUAUGCCAUCAUACUAAAAAUCGAAUGGAUCUCUGUUUUUGCAAGGUUUUGGACUUGGAUGAAUAACAUUGCUGGAAGAAACGUUUCGAGAUUAUUGAAGGGAUAGCUCAAGGCCUACUUUACCACCAUAAGUACUCAGAUCGAGGAUAAUUCAUAGAGAUUUGAAGGCUGGCAACAUACUACUUGAUGAAAAUCUGAACCCCAAAAUUUCUGAUUUUGGCAUGGCAAGAAUUUUCAAGAUUAAUGAUUUACAAGCAAAUACAAACCAAAUUGUUGGAACACGUGGAUAUAUGUCCCCUGAAUAUGUCAUGGAGGGCAUCUUCUCUGUGUAUAAUGUCUUCAGUUUUGGAGUUCUGCUGGAAAUUGUGAGUGGUAGAAGGAUCCAAGGCCUCCUUGAAAUAGACGGUCACCCCCUUAUACUUGUGGGAUAUUUAUGUUCAUUUCAUGCUAUCUCAUAAAUGAUAACAUUUCUAGAUGCAUAAGCUUACUUUUAAGGUUGAGCGUGAAUUUGAUUCAGGCAUGGGAGCUAUGGAAAGCAGGUACCUCAUUUGAGAUGAUGGAUCCAAUACUAAGAGAAUCUUGCUUUAAGGACCAAGUCUUGAGAUGCAUUAACGUUGGCUUGCUAUGCGUGGAAGACACCGCCAUAGAUAGGCCAACCAUGUCAGAUGUUGUAUCGAUGUUAACAAGUGAAGCACAGUUACCGUUGCCCAAACAGCGUGCGUUUUCAAAUCCAAGAACUGCCAUAGACGACGCAGCAAUGAGUUUAAGGAAUCCAGAAAGUAGUUCCAGGAAUUACUUAUCCACUUCAAUUAUGUAUGGACGAUAGUUAUUUGAUAUUUUCAAAACUCGAGUCCUCAAGGACCUUCUCUUGCGAAGAAGAAAAGUAGUUUUUUUGACUUCUCUGCAUUGAUGUGAAUGUUGGCUUCAAAUUGGCCUUGGAAUAUACAGGCAACGUGGAUGGUUCUCUUC